UCGUUUCAUUAUUAGGUUAUAUAUUUAUGUACAUUAUUUGCCCCUUUUAUACUCAUAUGCUUUUAUUUAUGCUCCACCCAUCCUCUGUGAUGGGUUAUUAUACGUCAUCAGCACUCGGUCCUCCUUUAGGCCCCAUAUAUACAAGCAGAGGUACCUCUCAUACACUCCUGCACUAUGUGCACGUAGCAUCCAAUCUACACUUUAGUUUUUAGCUAGUGCGCACAAUUGGGGCGUGUGUCAGCUGCUGUCAGUGGCGCGUUUCCAUGGUGACGAGUCACUCUCUGUGAUCUUCCUGGUUCAUUCUCAUCGCCAUGGUUGCACGCAUUGCGUUUGCGUGUGGCACGCGUCACUCAUUGAUGCGCGUCCUCGUCUCUAACUUUUGGAGCUGAUGCGUCUCCGUGGUGAUGGGUCCUGUGAGCGAGCGGCCGCCUAUCCAUAUAGCGGUCUUUACUCAUCGCCACGGUCACGCUCCUCGUGCACUAUACACGUACUUCCGGUCCUUCACCUGCGGUUUUCUCACUUAAAUCCUAAUUAGGAUUACUAUUAAUAUGGAUGUUUAGGCUGUAGUUUGUACUUUUGAUUUUGCUCCUGAGGAAGCGUGCAGAGAGCACGCGAAACGCGUUGAGCUACCAUUGAUUCUGUUUUCAUACUACUACUACAUUGUAAGUAGCCUGUAUUGUGCAGGAUUUUAUUAUAUUAAACGUUUUUACACUAUAUUUGCCUCAUCUUCUAUUCUACAUAUGUUGUGAACUGGGUUCCUCUUCAAUCAAUGCCCGGCUGGGAUUCACCUAUAUGCUUCUUACUAAGUUGAUCUGGCUCAUCUAAAGGGGAGCUGACAUCAGGAGGAAGCAGCACGUGAUUUACAUUUACUUUCACCAUUUUUGAAGAUUGAUAUACACGGAUUUUGUCAUCAAGAAGCGCCGGUUUAGGAGUGAUCAUUUACUCCUCAAAUACUAGACUGCCUACUGGGCAUGCCUGGUUUCCACUGGAGCAGAGGCAGCAAGCAUGCGCUGUAGACACCUCAUUCAUAAUCUUCACAUUCAGAGAAAAGAAGAGCUCAGCAAAGGGGGCAGAGCUUCACAUUAGUAUAGGACGCAGACAGAAUUGAAGUUUAGCUACAUGAGAAUAAGUACAGGGAGAAAGAAGUGGAGUGCCAGCCUAAGUUAAAAAAGUAAUCAACUGAAUUCACUAGAGGUGUGCUAAAGGAGGCUCGCGCCAAAAUGUGAAGCACAAAGAGAAUGAAGAUAGGAAGCAAUUCAGCGGGGCUGCUGAAGAGAUUUGCUUGUGAAGAGGGACAGACACCCAGAGCAGGCUGAAGAUUUUCUGCACUAAACACUAAAGUCUUUAAUCUCUGUAAAACUGCUUGAGGAGAUUUGACUACAUGACACUUGGAGAGAACAUCACAUCAUUCAGAUCCUUUCCAAGGACAACUGAGCGCCUCCUGUAUAGAUAAAACACCCUAAGACUUUGUCAUGACACAACACGUGGUGUGGGAGAAAACAAAAAUACCAAUAUGUAUGUAUGCAUGAAUGACUGUUUAUGUAUAUAGCGCUACUUGUAUAUACAGCUGUACAUGUACAUGCUGUACAGCAGAAUGCAUUAACAGCACAGAGGUCAAACAACAAUAAUAAAUUACAUUCAAGCUAAUUGCUUGUUGUUUUGAAUAGACACGCCCCAUAACAUCCACAUUUUCACAGAAUAGAGAGCUUAUUUACCAGAAUAGGCUAAUCAGUUUGCCUCUUACAACAAAUUUAUAUAUAUAUAUAUAUAUUGUGCACCACAAUAAAAGCCACUUGUGCUGUACCGUA